UACUAUAAAGGACGUAGCGUGGAACGGCUCGGCCUCUCGGCGGCCAUGGCGCCACUGUUUCCGUUGGGGCGCCGCGGAUGACCCUAUAUAGCCCUCGGCCGGCUACCGGGAAGACUGAGACGAUCGUAACAAAGAUGCACGGUGCUUUCCUUCUGAGAGUUUAGUCGCCCUAAUACGUGCAGCAGACUAACCAUGUGGAAGUUUGUCUGCCAAAACGCAAGCGCCCAUGAGGACAUUAGGUAAGCUGUAACGUCAGGAUUAACGGCGUGGGUACCCGGCACUUGGUUCAUCAGCACUCUGCUCCUAGAGGCGUUGCAGGUGUGGCUGCUGUGUCACAUGUGCGUCAGUAGGUGGCAGAGAGGAAAGAGGCUAUGUCUACGCUCAGUGUUCUGCCCUGUGGACAUCUGAAUGAUUUGUAGCCUAACACUCCUUAAAGCUGGAGGAAAGUUGGUGACUAAACUCUGCUUAUGCCGAAUGCCCAGUUGAGAUCCAGAAGCCAGGAAGAAAGGGGCCAACGUUGCUGAUCAGGAUGGGCGUGCCCUCUGACCUCACCAGGGUAAUACAGAACCACCCAUACAGGCUGUGGGCAGCUCUAAAUUUCCCCUGGUAGCUAGCCUACGUCCUAAGUUAUGGACUGGAUUUGGGUUGGCUUGGGUUUGACUCUUAUUGUGAAGUGAGGUAGAGACACUGGGGUGCAGGACCCUCUAAGAUUCAACAUCUUUAACUGUACAUGGCCUUAAAAGAGAUAAUUAUGAGUUGGGUGAUGGUAACUGGUCGCUUGAGUUCAAGACCAGCCUGUUCUACAAAGCAAGUUCCAGGGUAGUCAGGACUGCUACACAAAGAAAACCCUGUCUUGAAAGGCUAAAAAAGGGUGGAGAAUGAUACAGGAGAGGGAAACUGGCUAGAUGCUGUGACACAAAUAAACUUGUCGGUUCUUGAG